GCUUCGGUAACUGAGCUAGCGGCGGACGGGUGAGUAAUGCUUAGGAAUCUGCCUAUUAGUGGGGGACAACAUUCCGAAAGGAAUGCUAAUACCGCAUACGCCCUACGGGGGAAAGCAGGGGAUCUUCGGACCUUGCGCUAAUAGAUGAGCCUAAGUCAGAUUAGCUAGUUGGUGGGGUAAAGGCCUACCAAGGCGACGAUCUGUAGCGGGUCUGAGAGGAUGAUCCGCCACACUGGGACUGAGACACGGCCCAGACUCCUACGGGAGGCAGCAGUGGGGAAUAUUGGACAAUGGGCGCAAGCCUGAUCCAGCCAUGCCGCGUGUGUGAAGAAGGCCUUUUGGUUGUAAAGCACUUUAAGCGAGGAGGAGGCUACUUGGAUUAAUACUCUAGGAUAGUGGACGUUACUCGCAGAAUAAGCACCGGCUAACUCUGUGCCAGCAGCCGCGGUAAUACAGAGGGUGCGAGCGUUAAUCGGAUUUACUGGGCGUAAAGCGUGCGUAGGCGGCUUUUUAAGUCGGAUGUGAAAUCCCUGAGCUUAACUUAGGAAUUGCAUUCGAUACUGGGAAGCUAGAGUAUGGGAGAGGAUGGUAGAAUUCCAGGUGUAGCGGUGAAAUGCGUAGAGAUCUAGAGGAAUACCGAUGGCGAAGGCAGCCAUCUGGCCUAAUACUGACGCUGAGGUACGAAAGCAUGGGGAGCAAACAGGAUUAGAUACCCUGGUAGUCCAUGCCGUAAACGAUGUCUACUAGCCG
rnacentral:rRNA from 1 species